GGGGUUGUGGCUCAGUGGUAGAGUGCUUGUGAAGCAUGCACGAGGCACUGGGUUCAACCCUCAGCACCACA
rnacentral:tRNA from 1 species